rnacentral:rRNA from 1 species
UGGGCUUGACAUCCCGAGAAUUUUCUGGAAACAGAGAAGUGCCUCAACUCGAGGAGCUUGGAGAC